rnacentral:rRNA from 1 species
UAAGGAAUAUUGGUCAAUGGAGGCAACUCUGAACCAGCCAUGCCGCGUGCAGGAAGACGGCCCUCUGGGUUGUAAACUGCUUUUAUUCGGGAAUAAACCUAUCUACGUGUAGAUAGCUGAAUGUACCGAAGGAAUAAGGAUCGGCUAACUCCGUGCCAGCAGCCGCGGUAAUACGGAGGAUCCAAGCGUUAUCCGGAUUUAUUGGGUUUAAAGGGUGCGUAGGCGGCCUAUUAAGUCAGGGGUGAAAGACGGUAGCUCAACUAUCGCAGUGCCCUUGAUACUGAUGAGCUUGAAUGAACUAGAGGUAGGCGGAAUGUGACAAGUAGCGGUGAAAUGCAUAGAUAUGUCACAGAACACCGAUUGCGAAGGCAGCUUACUAUGGUUUUAUUGACGCUGAGGCACGAAAGCGUGGAGAUCAAACA